rnacentral:misc_RNA from 1 species
AUCUUUUCACCUUCUCGAUUCCGCUAAGUGACCACACCCACGCGCACCCCACACGCCGCCGCUGCCGCCGCCUUCGUCGUCGAUCCUUGUCCCCAUGCCCCGAACGGCGACCCACACGACGACGACGGCGCCGAUGCCGACGCCACACGAUACAUUGCCGGCGGCAGAUCACCACGACGAUGACAAGUGUUGUUGUUGUUGCAAGAGUGAGAUCCACAUCGCGAAGCUCGAGGCGGAAAAUCACCUCCUCAAGGAAAAGCUGUCGCAGAUAGACAUGAUGCACGCGAUCAGCGCCGCCAAAACCACCAUCAACCGCACUAUUCUGACGGCGCUGGAGGAGGAGCGGCAGUACCUGGAGCAGGCUAUGCUUCCCGUCAGCUACAAGUUCCCGAAAGGAGCCGACUACAGCGAACUCCCCACCUACCCAAAGCGCCCGCACUUCGACCAGGCAGCGAAGCACCCCAGCACGCAGGUCGUCAUCUUCGACGGCUGCCCCAACGACCCUUAUCACCCGACCUCGAUGCCCAUCUACCAAACCGCGACCUUUGUGCAGCCCGACAUCGAGGAGUUCGGUCCGUACGACUACAGCCGUAGCGGCAACCCGACUCGCACGGCCAUCGAGACCCUCGUCGCCAACCUCGAGGGUGCCCACGCUGCCUUCGCUUUUUCGUCCGGCAUGGCGGCACUGCAGACGCUCGUGACCACGCUGAACGCUGGCGACACCAUCCUCGCCAGCAGCGACCUUUACGGGGGCAUGCACCGUCUCCUGACACAGAUCACCUCGUGCCUCGGGAUGGCUGUUGUGUUUGUGCCGAUGUGGAACACUGAGGCGGUGCGCCAAGCGCUCAUCGAGAACCCGGCGGCGAAGCUGCUGCACAUGGAGAGCCCCACGAACCCACUGAUGCGAAUUGUCGACAUCCGUGCUGUCUGUGAGGCUGCCCACGCGCACAACGUAAAGGUGUCCAUCGACAACACUAUGAUGUCUCCGCUUCGCUGCACCCCGCUCGCCCUGGGCUGCGACUACUCAAUCCACAGCGCCACCAAGUUUCUGUGCGGCCACAGCGACACCAUGUGCGGUCUUAUCUGCGUGAAGUCUGAGGAGGAUGUGAAGCGGGUGGCCUUUCUGCAGAACGCACAGGGAAACGCCCUCGCCCCGUUUGACUGCUGGCUGCUCCUGCGUGGCAUCCGCACGCUGUCCAUUCGCGUCGAGAAGCAGGAGCUGAACGCCGUCGCGGUGGCAUUGUUCCUGUCGCGUCAGAGCCACGUCGUGUCGCGCCUGCACUACGCUGGCUUGAACCCCGCCACGUCCCCCCAGAUCUCUUCCCUGACUGAGGAGAACUUCUACCUGCACCGCUCGCAGACCUCCGGCCCUGGCAGCGUGCUCUCCAUUGAGACCGGCAGCGUCAAGCGCUCCAACGCGUUUGUACGGGCCUGCAAGCUGUUCAAGCUCACCGUCAGCUUUGGAAGCUGCAACUCGCUGGUUGAAAUGCCCUGCCUCCUCUCGCACGCGUCCAUACCCAAGGAGAAGCGCACACUUCCAGCUGACCUGAUCCGACUGUCCGUGGGUAUCGAACAGAUCGAGGAUAUACUUGCCGACCUAACGCAGGCCAUCGCCGCCGCGGUCGCCAUCCAUGACAAUGACGGGUCCUGCUGAAAUCACCGCUUCCUUGUCGUUCGUUUUUUUGUGUGUGUGGGGAGGGGGGGUAGUGGUGCAGAAGAGAGAUGGAUGCGUGCGUGUGUGUGUGUGUUUCAGCGCAAACCGUACGCCAUCGCACUCUCCUCUCCUUGCAGCCUUCGUUGUUGUGUUGCCUUGCUAUCUAUAUCGCGGAGUCUCGCAGAUUCGUCUUUCCCGCCUUCCUCAAGUUGGUUCCUCUCCGCCUCUCUCUCUAUCGAGGAGAGGGAUACGCUCCUCGCACUGGAUAUGGUGGCGUGAUGCGCACGAAGAGAGGCAGGCAGGACCACCACCGCGCGCCUGUUUGCUCCACACUUCUCUCACCCCCCUCCCUCCUCCCUCCUCCCUUCCAUUCCCCCACCCCCCCUGUAG